GGUUCCCGCGCGGCGCUCCAAAGCUCGGGGAGUGGUGGUCUCCCUUUCCUGGAGUCAUUUGUGGGAGUUAGGGUCUUAUCCUGAUCUUUCCUCGUCCCCCGCUCCCCCGUCCUCCGAGGUGGCAGCUGCAUCGGGGGUCAUACUACACAUCGAUCGGGACCUUAGUCAUGUUGUGAUAUGGACAGCUUUCUUACCAGUACUCAUAAGCCUGCUUCAUUUUUUACGUGGCGGCACCACUGAGUGGUUGACGGUUAGUAACAGCUUACUUUGGGGGAUGAGCACACCUUAUUAACUGAGCAAAAACCAAGAUAAUGUGAGAAGAAUUGGUGUACUCCCAAGAAUAUCCAAGAAGUCUGGAACGUUUUUUCUUAGAGUUCCAGAAUUGAGACUGAAGUGUACCCAGAGACACAAAGAAAUACAGAAGUCCAGAAUGAUCAAAUGAGAUCACUACCCAAUGAAAUGAUGGGCCGAGGAGCCAGAAGUUGUCCUACUACCUGCUUUCCAGGUCCAGAUUCCACGAGAGCCUUCUGGGCUCCCACCAGAGACCCUCAGUGAAGACUCUGUUGAAGACUUUAAGACCAUGCUAGAAAGCCUCCCGGCAGAGGUUCAGGAAGUUCUGCUAUGAGGAUGCAGCUGGCCCCAGGGAUGUCCUCAGGCAUCUCUAGGACCUUGCUGGACGGUGGUGGC
ensembl:lncRNA LINC00339 long intergenic non-protein coding RNA 339